CAGGUCCGGCCGGGCCUUACACAUGCAAGUCGAACGAUGAAGGUUGGUGCUUGCACCGACUGGAUUAGUGGCGAACGGGUGAGUAAUACGUGAGUAACCUGCCUUUGACUCUGGGAUAAGCCUUGGAAACGAGGUCUAAUACCGGAUAUGACACAGUUUCGCAUGAAAUCUGUGUGGAAAGGGUUUGUACUGGUUUUAGAUGGGCUCACGGCCUAUCAGCUUGUUGGUGAGGUAAUGGCUCACCAAGGCGACGACGGGUAGCCGGCCUGAGAGGGUGACCGGCCACACUGGGACUGAGACACGGCCCAGACUCCUACGGGAGGCAGCAGUGGGGAAUAUUGCACAAUGGGCGCAAGCCUGAUGCAGCGACGCCGCGUGAGGGAUGACGGCCUUCGGGUUGUAAACCUCUUUCAGCAGGGGAGAAGCGAAAGUGACGGUACCUGCAGAAGAAGCGCCGGCUAACUACGUGCCAGCAGCCGCGGUAAUACGUAGGGCGCGAGCGUUGUCCGGAAUUAUUGGGCGUAAAGAGCUUGUAGGCGGUUUGUCGCGUCUGCUGUGAAAGCCCGGGGCUUAACCCCGGGUUUGCAGUGGGUACGGGCUAACUAGAGUGCAGUAGGGGAGACUGGAAUUCCUGGUGUAGCGGUGGAAUGCGCAGAUAUCAGGAGGAACACCGAUGGCGAAGGCAGGUCUCUGGGCUGUAACUGACGCUGAGAAGCGAAAGCAUGGGGGAGCGAA
rnacentral:rRNA from 1 species